UUUUUCUGCAAUUCUUAGGUACAUUCCAAACCCCGCCCCGAAAACGCAUAUUACAAUGAACGAACUGCCCCCCCCAAAAAAAAUUAAUAUGCAUGCGAUGAAACUUGACAUAGCAAAAAGAAUACAAGUAAGUGACGCAAUCACUUGUGUCGUUCGCCGCAGAUUGCGUUACUGAGACAGAAGAUUGUCGAGCUGAAGGGGGUCAAGCGGCCCAGCUUGAAGAGGGUGAAGAAAACUACAGAGGACGUGUUUGGCGCUUACUCGGACCCCUCCAAACUCAUGAAACAAGAUUUCAAGGUCAACCUAAAGACAGUGAAGAAAGAGGACGAAAAGGUAACGUUCAAACGCAAUUAUUUGUAGACAAAAUCUACACGACAGCGUCUAACUACGUAUGCGUGUGGGCUCCAGCGGGAAGAAGUGACCGACUGGCGUAAGAAUGUGGAGGCCAUGUCUGGCAUGGAGGGCAGGAAGAAGCUUUUCAACUCCGGGCAAUAACCAAACUCGGCAUCAUAGCUUGUGAGUCAGUUUCCAUGAAUUACUUUAACUGCUUUGCAAACGUUUUAGACAAAGUACCGUCAUUAUAGUACUAAGAUUAAAAUGCAAUUGCAUAGUAGGCCCAAGUGUUAACCAAGGGUUUAUGCCGGUAAAGAUUUUGUAUCAUAGUAAGUCAUUGUAAUAUUAUGAACAGUUUCAACAUAAACACUGUACUAAAAUACUGAAAAUGUAAAAAAAAAAAAAAAAAUGCACUGAAAUUUGGAUUCAAUUAAAAUGUGUUGCAUGUCAGUUAAAUGAAAAAUGUAGUCAAGUAACGGAUAUUUUAACACAAACACCCCUGUAACACAUAUAAUUACAAUAUAAUUUAAGAAUUUCUACAAUCAUAUCAAUCAAAUGACAACAAAUACUGCAGUUUAUGAGUUGCUCACAGUCGUUGUGGAACUCUUCUUCGUUUGCAUCAGCAUGACUGUAUUAUAGAGCUCGUGCACCUACGUCAUCAAACAAAGCGUUGUUCAAUGCUAAGUCCGUUGAGACGAAACGAAAAUACGGUGAAGAUAAAAAAUAUUUCAACACCCAGCUAUAUUGCAAGUUCUUCCACUUAGAAAUCAUGGAGGGGUCUGAAAUUUUCAUCGUCGAUGCAUGUCCACCGUGAGAGAUAUAAUCUAAAAAGAAAAAUCCAGAAAUCACAACGUAUGAAUUUUUGAAAUCAUUUAUUUGUGUCAUACAGCUAUAAAUAAGUAUUUGAACAUCUGAGAAAUCCAAGGUUAUUAUUUGGUACAGUAGCAUUUGUUUGCAAUUACAGAGGUCACACAUUUCAUGUAGUUUUUCACCAGGUUUUCACACACUGCAGGAGGGAUUUCGGCCCACUCCUCCACACGGAUCUUCUCUAGAUCAGACAGGUUUCUGGGCUAUCGCUGAGCAACACGGAGUUUCAGCUCCCUCCAAAGAUUUUCUAUUGGGUUUAGGUCUGGAGACUGGCUAGGCCACAGCAGAACCUUGAUAUGCUUCUUACAGAGUAAGUUAGUCCUGGGCUGAUUUUUUUUCAAGGAUCAUUGAGACCCCACGAGGUGGUAUCUUGCAUGGAGCUCCACUCCGAUUGAGAUUGCCCCUUUUUCCAUUAUCUAAUAAUUGCUCCAACAGUGGAGCUUUUUCACCAAGAUGCUUGGCAAUUUCUCUGUAGCCCUUUACAGCCAUGUGGAGUUGUACAAUUUUGUCUCCGGUGUCUUUGGACAGCUCUUUGGUCUUGGCCAUGGUACAAGUUCAAGGUCAACCUAAAGACAGUGAAGAAAGAGGACGAAAAGGUAACGUUCAAACGCAAUUAUUUGUAGACAAAAUCUACACGACAGCAUCUAACUACGUAUGCGUGUGGGCUCCAGCGGGAAGAAGUGACCGGUGUCCAAAUACUUAUUUUCUUCACUGUAUGUCUUGUAGCCCGACACCCAGAGUUUUGUCCGAUACCGUUAAACAUUUUGAUAAUAAACAAAGGUAGAGGUGGGAAAAGGUAAACAAGAGGCACAUGAGGACAUGUACACCAGGUUGGACAUGAAAGGAGAAAAAGAUCUCUAAAGGUUGGCCAGACAGAGGGUUAGAGAUGGAAAGGAUGUGCAGCAGGUAAGGGUGAUUAAGGAUAGAGACGGAAAUGUCUUGACUGGUGCCAGUAGUGUGCUGAAUAGAUGGACUGAAUACUUAUAAGUUAUGGGAAAGGGUAGUGGAGGCUCGACUCAGGACAGAAGUUAGUAUCUGCGAGCAACAGUAUGGUUUCAUGCCUAGAAAGAGUACCACAGAUGCAUUAUUUGCCUUGAGGAUGCAAGUGGAAAAGUACAGAGAAGGUCAGAAGGAGCUACAUUGUGUCUUUGUGGAUCUGCAGAAAGCCUAUGACAGAGUACCAAGAGAGGAACUGUGGUACUGCAUGCGCAAGUCCAGUAUAGCGGAGAGAUAUGUUAGAAUUGAGUUCGUGCACCUAUGUCACCGAAGUCACGUGACUGAUCAUAUUGACAGUCUAACAAAGCAUUCUUGAAUGCGAAGUCAGUUGGAGACGGCACGAAAAUACGUCUUAUAGCACGACGCUCAGUGUUUUGUCCCAUACCGUUAAACAUUUAGAAGGUGAUAAUAAACGAAGGUACGUGGAAAAAUGAGAGACACUUGCCGUAGAGGACCCAUAUUUAAUACCGAAGUCGAUGUUUUCGGCGAUAAGAAAUUGGAGUGUUAAUUCGCUUCUGCUUGUCUUGGACAACUGGAUCCACACAUGCAUCUGGUGAGUAAGUCAUUGGAAUUUACACAGAAGAGUUUGAAAGCGUAGAAAAGUCUGGACGCAUACAAAUAGUUCAUUGCUGGAUCUGUUCUCUUCUUACCUCCAUAGACAGAGAGAUGUUUUUUUUUUUUAAAUACGCAUUGUUCUCAAAUGAGUCAAUUUGACGUUAUGAAUACUUUUUGAUAAUUUGAGAUUGAAAAGAAUAAUUCCUACCUGAAAUGAUCGCUACACAGGCAUGUGUAUUUCGUUGGGCACCAUCCAUCACAUUUCUAUACACUGCUCAUUUUUUCAAUACAGAUACCAAUAUUUAAAUAAAUGACCCCUGGUUUUACACAAACUUGCAUUCAUUAACUAUGAUUGUGAAAAAUAUUUUAGGACAGAGAGUCGUCUCCUCCGUACACAGAAGCGUAUUGCGGCCACACACACACGCCUCCGUACACCUCUCUGUGACUGACGUUUUUUUGUUUUUUAAAUACGCAUUGUUCUCAAAUGAGUCAAUUUGGCAUCAUAAAUACUUCUUGGUUAUUUGAGAUUGAGAAGAAUAAUUCCUACUUGAAAUGAUCGUUACACAGGCGUGUGUAUUUCGUUGGGCACCAUCUAUCACGUUUAAUUGCCAAAAUCCAUCAAUAUUUUCUGGUCUUUUCAGCUAGUAUUCCAUAAAAUGAUGUCUCGUCUGUUGGAACAACCAACAGAACAACAGGUCUGGUUUUACACAAGCUCGCUUUCAUUAACUAUGAUUGGGGAAAGAAAAAAAAAGACUGAGUCAGCUCCUCGUACACAAAGUGCGUUGCGGCUAAACUUAAACUUCGGUAAAUCUCUCCGUGACAGAGUUUUUAUUUUUUUAAAUAUGCAUUGUUCUCCAAUGAGUCCAAUGCAUAUUAAAAAAAAAAAAAUAAACCGCUGGGAUAGGCUUCACCCCCCGUAUACGGAAGCGUGUUGCGGCCACACGUUCAACUACGUAGACCUCUGUGUGACCGACGGUUUAUUUUCUUUUUUUAAAUACGCAUUGGACUCAUUGGAUUUGAGAACAAUACAUAUUAAACACAACAAAAAUAAAAAGUCUGUCGGGGAGAGGUUUACCUAAGAUUAACAUGUGGCCGCAACACGCUUCCGUGUACAUUGGCGAUGACUUUUUUUUUUUUUAACGAAUUGUUCUAAAAUGAGCCAAUUUGGCAUUAUAAAUACUUCUUGGGAAUUUGAGAUUAAGAAGAAUAAUUUCUACCUGAAAUGAAGCGAUCGCUACACAUGCGUGUGUGUAUUUUGGUUGGGCACCAUCCAUCACGUUUCAUUGCCGAAAUCCAUCGAUCUUUUCUCGUCUUUUCAGAUGGUAUUCCGUAGAAUGACCUCUUUGAAUAUCUGUCUCGUCUGUUGUAACAACCAACAGCACAACAAGUCUCCGGCAUUGUGCAUAUUCUCCUCCUGUUCAAUCUCCCCCACACUGUCGAGCAGCUCUUUUUGACCGGCAAUAUGGCGCCGUGAAAAUGGUGACCGUCACGUGCACGACCUCUAUAUGACCCAGGUGGCCAAGUCAAAUUAACCAUGAUGUGCAAAUUCCUGAAUUCUUCCAAGUUCUAUUAUUUAAUCAAUAUAUUACUAUAUGCUUUUAUGAAGUACAAUAUAAUACAGUGCUAUUUUUCUUCUUUAAAAAACACAGACAAUUUUUUUUUGCAGGCAUGGGGCAUUAUUUUUAUCGGACAACUGGCUGUGCUUUUUACCAGUUUGGACAAGAAUGAUUAAAAAUAUUACAGCCACUUUUCUGCUUCGUUUCUUUUGUAUUUCUUGUCUGGUCGAGUAUUUCGUCUCCUACCUUCGGGAUUUAACUCCGAGUGGAAGAGGCAUGAAUAACGGGUGACCUAGCAUCCUGAUUUGCUUGCGGUCCCGGCACAAGAGUUCUAUUUUAGUUGGCCACUCACAGACCCGACGAGAAGUUCUUGAAUGUGACCCGAGGCUCCUCCCGUCACUCCGAGACGGACGCUGCACAGCUUCAUUUGUACGCGCAGAGAAAGGUAUGAGAAGUUUUCUUCAUCGUCCUCGCAGCUUGUGCAACUUAUUACGACUGACGCAUGUUGGAUUGUUUUGAAUAAGUGCAAAAAAUAUUAGACGUAAGGUCACACUUUAAUCGAUGCCAUCCAGCUAUUCAAAUGGGAAUAGUGAGACUACUUUUCAAUAGUCUUGUUGGCUGAGUCAGAGUUGAGUUUUUUUGGAAAACAUGAAAAAAUAAUUUAAACAAACAAGAAAAAUCCAGUUGCUAAUAUUUGACCUUUGCAAAUUACCUGGAUGACUGUACACAGGCCGGAAUUCUUUGGGUACUAAUUAGAUUUUUGAUGAUUCACCGAUUUGUGCAAUUAAUGCUUUGGGUUAAGAAUUUAUUGAAAUAAGCAGCUGAGGCCAGCGAGCAGGAAUCUGUCAUUGGCUUUGAUUCCUGGAAUCAAAAGAGUCAUAUCAUCUGCAUGUCUUUUUGAAUCCAAAUAAUUUGAUUUUUCACAGCAAGAAGACUUCCAACAUGUCAGAGGCGUAAGACAUCACUCUUUUUUGCCCCGCUACAUGAACAUUUGUGUUUGUAAUGACUUGUUUCAAUUCUAACUUGGUUUUCAUUUGCUCUUCAAUCUCCACCAAAGACCGAGAAAAUCCAAGAUUUCUGCAUCUCGCAGGCUGACCUUGAAGACCAAGCUGCUGAAGGUGGCAACUGUCAUGUUGGAAAAGGAGAAUGAAGAUAAACGCCAGGAGAGAGAAAGCACUUUGAGCACGCGAGUUCCUCCGCUGCAGCUGUCUGGGCUGUCAGCGCAGGACCUUCAGGCUCUGUGCAAAGAACUGCACCAUAAAAUCGACGUGGUCGACGAAGAGCGCUACGACAUCAACUCCAAGGUUACCAAGAAUAACACAGAGCUGGAGAAUCUGACCGCCAAGAUUAUUGAGCUGAAGGGUAAAAUGAAGCGACCCGCUCUUAAAAGGGUCAAGAUUUCGGCCGACGCCAUGUUGGGAGCUCUGCUGGGCGCCAAGGUCAAGGAGUCUGUGGACUUUAAGGCCAACCUCAAGACCGUCAAGAAGGAAGAGGAAAAGAAGGAGGAAGUGACCGACUGGCGUAAGAAUGUGGAGGCCAUGUCUGGUAUGGAGGGAAGAAUGAAGCUUUUUAACGCCGGCCAGUAGAUUCAAAAUGACAGAAGUCGGAAAAUCACUUGGUCAAUCUCUGUGUGUCCGAGCACCACAGCUCAACGGUAAUGCCGUCUUACAGUGUCGAGAUGCCUGGAAACGAUGUGACGAUGACAAUAAAAAAAAAGCCCCAUAAGGAGGCCCAAAAGAAAAUCUCACAGGUGGACAUUUUCGCACCUCGUACAAGACACCGCGCAGGAAUGGUGAGGACAGCGUGUCUAUUUUGGAGAGCCACUCACAAGGGCGCCGGAAUCUAUAUAUCUAGCCUCUUUGUGCGCUUGUCAUCUCGGGGAAAAAGCAGCCGGCGAGAAAUUCUGUCGCGUAUUGUGUAAGGUAAGAAGAAAACGCUAUUAUGUGACAUUUAUAGAAUAUGUGUGAUAUCAACCAUCUUUCAGUUAUCUUCACCAGGUAUUGUCUUAUUUUAAUAAAUGCUGUUUCAACGCAGUUUGACCUCAAGACAAAGUCACCCUUUGUCAAGCAAAUGUUCUUAAGAUGUUUAUUUUCCAUUCUCUCCUCUGACAGAGGGAGACACAAGAAAAGCUGUCACUAUGUCUGACGCGUGAGUACAUUUCGGCUUCAUUGUUACGUUAACUCGCAUUUGAACUGUGAGUGUUUGUAUAAGUAUCGCUAACAAAACUUCACCUCUACUCUCUCUCUCUACGAAUCAAUGUCACCUUCUGCUUCCACGCUCAGGCCUUCGGUAAG